CUUCACCGAUCCCAGCCACAACGGCCGCCCUUCCACCCGUCCUUGACCGUAAGUGGCCAACAACGCCUGCGCCUC
rnacentral:antisense_RNA from 1 species